rnacentral:rRNA from 1 species
UGGGGAAUUUUGGACAAUGGGCGCAAGCCUGAUCCAGCCAUGCCGCGUGAGUGAAGAAGGCCUUCGGGUUGUAAAGCUCUUUCAGACGGAAAGAAAUCUCUCAGGAUAAUACCCUGUGUGGAUGACGGUACCGGAAUAAUAAUCACCGUCCAACUACGUGCCAGCAGCCGCGGUAAUACGUUGGGUGCGAGCGUUAAUCGGAAUUACUGGGCGUAAAGCGUGCGCUGGCGGUUUAGUAAGACAGGCGUGAAAUCCCCGGGCUCAACCUGGGAGCUGCGCUUGUGACUGCUAAGCUAGAGUACGGCAGAGGGGGGUGGAAUUCCACGUGUAGCAGUGAAAUGCGUAGAGAUGUGGAGGAAAACCAAUGGCGAAGGCAGCCCCCUGGGUCGAUACUGACGCUCAUGCACGAAAGCGUGGGUAGCAAACA